CUCAGGAUGAACGCUAGCGACAGGCCUAACACAUGCAAGUCGAGGGGCAUCGGGGCGAGGAGCAAUCCUUGCCGCCGGCGACCGGCGCACGGGUGAGUAACGCGUAUGCGACCUGCCCGUUGCAGGGGGAUAAUCGGGAGAAAUCCCGUCUAAUACCGCGUAAUGCCGCGGGGCUGCAUGGCCCUGCGGCCAAAGGGAGCGAUUCCGGCAACGGAUGGGCAUGCGUGACAUUAGCUAGUUGGCGGGGCAACGGCCCACCAAGGCGACGAUGUCUAGGGGUUCUGAGAGGAAGGUCCCCCACACUGGUACUGAGACACGGACCAGACUCCUACGGGAGGCAGCAGUGAGGAAUAUUGGUCAAUGGGCGCGAGCCUGAACCAGCCAAGUCGCGUGAGGGAUGACGGCCCUACGGGUUGUAAACCUCUUUUGUCGGGGAGCAAAUUCCGCCACGUGUGGCGGAGUCGAGAGUACCCGAAGAAAAAGCAUCGGCUAACUCCGUGCCAGCAGCCGCGGUAAUACGGAGGAUGCGAGCGUUAUCCGGAUUUAUUGGGUUUAAAGGGUGCGUAGGCGGACUGUCAAGUCAGCGGUAAAAUACGGGGGCUCAACCUCCGCCCGCCGUUGAAACUGACGGUCUUGAGUGGGCGAGAAGUAUGCGGAAUGCGUGGUGUAGCGGUGAAAUGCAUAGAUAUCACGCAGAACUCCGAUUGCGAAGGCAGCAUACCGGCGCCCGACUGACGCUGAAGCACGAAAGCGUGGGUAUCGAACAGGAUUAGAUACCCUGGUAGUCCACGCAGUAAACGAUGAAUACUAGCUGUCCGGGGCGAAUGAGCCCUGGGUGGCACAGCGAAAGCGUUAAGUAUUCCACCUGGGGAGUACGCCGGCAACGGUGAAACUCAAAGGAAUUGACGGGGGCCCGCACAAGCGGAGGAACAUGUGGUUUAAUUCGAUGAUACGCGAGGAACCUUACCCGGGCUCAAACGACACAGGAACGUACCUGAAAGGGUUCGGCUCUACGGAGCCUGUGUCGAGGUGCUGCAUGGUUGUCGUCAGCUCGUGCCGUGAGGUGUCGGCUUAAGUGCCAUAACGAGCGCAACCCCCAUCGACAGUUGCUAACAGGUCAGGCUGAGGACUCUGUCGAGACUGCCGGCGCAAGCUGCGAGGAAGGCGGGGAUGACGUCAAAUCAGCACGGCCCUUACGUCCGGGGCGACACACGUAUUACAAUGGCAGGUACAGCGGGAAGCCACCUGGCGACAGGGAGCGGAACCCGAAAGCCUGUCUCAGUUCGGAUUGGAGUCUGCAACCCGACUCCAUGAAGCUGGAUUCGCUAGUAAUCGCGCAUCAGCCACGGCGCGGUGAAUACGUUCCCGGGCCUUGUACACACCGCCCGUCAAGCCAUGGAAGCCGGGGGUGCCUGAAGUGCGCUGCCGCGAGGAGCGCCCUAGGGUAAAACCGGUGACUGGGGCUAAGUCGUAACAAGGUA
rnacentral:rRNA from 1 species